rnacentral:lncRNA from 1 species
GGGUGAGCCUGCCUGGCCAGGGGAGAGGGCGCGGGGCGGGCGAGCUCUGAGUCCCCAGGGCCAGCUCUGCCCCACGAGACUCCUUGUUCUGACGAUGGGACGGGCUGUGGAGGGGAGAACAGACUGUACCUGAAGGCCAGUGAGGAGCCCCUGAUGAUGAGCGACUGCACCAGGUAGUGGCAAUAGAGACAGCAGAGGUGCCUGGACUCUGGAUGUGUUGCUUCAGUAGGACCAGCCCGGUUUCCUGAUGUGAGGCAGUGAGAGACAGCUAUCAAGGUGAACCUGGGUGUUUGAACUCAGCGGCUUGAUGGAUGGAAGUUCCAUCAACUGAGAUGUGGAAGUUGGUGGCUGGAGCAGGUUCCUGGGAGAAGAUCUGGAGUGGGGAGUGUGGAGGCUCCUUAGUGUAACCCAGAGGCACCAGUACUGUGAUGUUGUGUCGGAGAACUUUCAGCUCAUUGGCUCGCUGGGAACUGCCUGCCUCAUACUGCCCUGGAUUGCAUGAUGACAAAUGGUUUAAGUCGCCUUUAACUCUGUGCGGGAUGGACUGGCAACAGAGUUGGGCACUGCUGCCCUGAAGGGACGCAAAGCCCUUUUAUGGGUUGGGUUGUCUCCUUGUCCAAUGGCUACCAACCUGAGAAGUACCAAAGGAGGUUCUUCAUGCUGCAAGUGUGACCCCAGACAACGAUUUGAAUCCACAUGAAAAAACAGCACUGGUGAGUAUGUAAGUAUAAAAGGAAGUAUAAAUGCAUAUUUCUUUUCUUAUUUUAAAAGCAAUGGUAUAAAACCAUAUAGUCAUCUGUCAAUGAUGGGGAUACGUUCUGAGAAAUAUGUCUUUAGACGAUUUCAUCGUUG